rnacentral:rRNA from 1 species
CGCUGGCGGCAGGCUUAACACAUGCAAGUCGAACGCCCCGCAAGGGGAGUGGCAGACGGGUGAGUAACGCGUGGGAACAUACCCUUUCCUGCGGAAUAGCUCCGGGAAACUGGAAUUAAUACCGCAUACGCCCUACGGGGGAAAGAUUUAUCGGGGAAGGAUUGGCCCGCGUUGGAUUAGCUAGUUGGUGGGGUAAAGGCCUACCAAGGCGACGAUCCAUAGCUGGUCUGAGAGGAUGAUCAGCCACAUUGGGACUGAGACACGGCCCAAACUCCUACGGGAGGCAGCAGUGGGGAAUAUUGGACAAUGGGCGCAAGCCUGAUCCAGCCAUGCCGCGUGAGUGAUGAAGGCCUUAGGGUUGUAAAGCUCUUUCACCGGAGAAGAUAAUGACGGUAUCCGGAGAAGAAGCCCCGGCUAACUUCGUGCCAGCAGCCGCGGUAAUACGAAGGGGGCUAGCGUUGUUCGGAAUUACUGGGCGUAAAGCGCACGUAGGCGGAUAUUUAAGUCAGGGGUGAAAUCCCAGAGCUCAACUCUGGAACUGCCUUUGAUACUGGGUAUCUUGAGUAUGGAAGAGGUAAGUGGAAUUCC